rnacentral:rRNA from 1 species
UACGUAGGGGGCUAGCGUUGUCCGGAAUCAUUGGGCGUAAAGCGCGUGUAGGCGGCCCGGUAAGUCCGCUGUGAAAGUCGGGGGCUCAACCCUCGGAAGCCGGUGGAUACUGUCGGGCUCGAGUACGGAAGAGGCGAGUGGAAUUCCUGGUGUAGCGGUGAAAUGCGCAGAUAUCAGGAGGAACACCGAUUGCGAAGGCAGAUCUCUGGGCCGUAACUGACGCUGAGGCGCGACAGCGUGGGGAGCAAACAGG